UACGAAGGGGGCGAGCGUUGUUCGGAUUUACUGGGCGUAAAGGGCGCGUAGGCGGUUUUUCUUGUCGAGUGUGAAAGCCCCGGGCUUAACCUGGGAACUGCGCUCGAAACGGGAUGACUAGAGAUCGGGAGAGGAGAGUGGAAUUCCCAGUGUAGAGGUGAAAUUCGUAGAUAUUGGGAAGAACACCGGUGGCGAAGGCGGCGACCUGGUCCGUGACUGACGCUGAGGCGCGAAAGCGUGGGGAGCAAACAGG
rnacentral:rRNA from 1 species